rfam:Halobacterium sp. DL1, complete genome.
CCUGACCACAGUCAGGACGGGAUGUGAUCCGUGAGGCGCUGCGUGCCUCGCGGAUUGAACCACGCA